rnacentral:rRNA from 1 species
UACAGAGGUCCAAGCGUUGUUCGGAUUUACUGGCGUAAAGGGUGCGUAGGUGGCAGGGUAAGUUGAUGUGAAAGCUCCGGGCUUAACCCGGAAUGGCAUUGAAUACUAUCCCGCUAGAGGGUUGGAGGGGAGACUGGAAUUCUCGGUGUAGCAGUGAAUGACGUAGAUAUCGAGAGGAACACCAGUGGCGAAGCGAGUCUCUGGACACUCCUGACACUGAGGCACGGAAAGCUAGGGGAGCAAACAGG